AUGGGCAGCUUCACGCUCGACCAUGAGUUCCCAAAGGACUACGGCCUCAAAGAAGAGGAUGAAUUGGACAUCGACGAGGAGCCUUUGUUCGAGGACAAGCUCGUCAACCAAGUCGGCGCGAAGCUGAAGCACAAAAGCAAACGGACAAAGGCAUACACGCCGUCCAAGGACAAGCUCCUUUGUGAGUGUUGGAGGGACAUUGGGAAAGACCCCAAGGUCGGCAUCGAACAAAAGGCAUCAACCUUUUGGAUUCGUGUUCAUCGUGAGUAGCAUGAACGCAAGAAGUUUGUGCCGUACGAAAUGCAAAGCAAGCAUGGGAGGGUGUCCCUCUCGAAGCGAUGA
rnacentral:rRNA from 1 species